GUCACGUGACUCGCGAGAUUUUACGAUAAUUUUCAAUUCCUCGCACAUGGUCAUGGUGAAUGUGUAUUGAGUUCAGCAUGUUUCUGGUUUACACACAGCUUUCAGGGGGAAAUUAAAUAGUUUUACAAAGCCGAAGGGUUGUACGAUUUACGAUGUAUGAAUUUCAUGUCAUAAGAAAUUGGGUGCGAGCGUCCACCAGGAAUAUUUCGAUCGAAAUACAGAUUUCUCUUGAAUCCGAGAUGUUAUUCAUCAGCUGAUUAUAGAGGAGGAGUUUUGUCAUUGGUGGGAACCAACGUCAUAUUUAUGAUAUUGUGGCUGCAUCACUUUUGUUUGGGUUUUGUCUGUACAUCUGGCAAUCUUGGGGCAAUACUGGAUGGUUUUAACUAAGAACUGAUCCAGCAUGAAGACCAGCCAUGUGCCUCACCUGUCAUGACAUUAUUAAAGGUAAGUGUCCCUAUAAGCAAAGAAUCUGACAAAGCAAAACCUUCAUCUUAAAAGAUUUACAUUUAAUACUUAUUUGAUUGGUAGUUUUAAUUAUUUUUUUUUCUUCUACGCAGCCUUUUAUUUAGCAUUUCUGAGUACUGCAUGGUAUAUG